GAGGGACUCUGAACAUGUCAGGGAUCGCCCUCAGCAGACUCGCUCAGGAGAGGAAAGCGUGGAGAAAAGACCACCCGUCUGGCUUCGUGGCUGUCCCGACAAAAAAUCCCGAUGGCACGAUGAACCUCAUGAACUGGAAGUGCGCCAUUCCAGGAAAGAAACGGACUCCGUGGGAAGGAGGCUUGUUUAAACUACGGAUGCUUUUCAAAAAUGACUAUCCAUCUUCACCACCGAAAUGUACAUUUGAACCACCGUUAUUUCACCCAAAUGUGUACCCUUUGGGGACAGUGUGCCUGUCCAUCUUAGAGGAGGACAAGGAAUGGAGGCCAGCCAUCACAAUCAAACAGGUCCUAUUAGGAAUACAGGAACUGCUAAAUGAACCAAAUAUCCAAGACCCAGCUCAAGCAGAGGCCUGCACGAUUUACUGCCAAAACAAGAGUGGAGUACGAGAAGAGGGUCCCAGCACAAGCCAAGAAGUUCCCGCCCUCAUAA